rnacentral:rRNA from 1 species
AUUGAACGCUGGCGGCAGGCCUAACACAUGCAAGUCGAGCGAGUGGCGGACGGGUGAGUAAUGUAUGGGGAACUGCCCGAUGGAGGGGGAUAACUACUGGAAACGGUGGCUAAUACCGCAUACUAUCGGAUGAACCCAUCUGGUAUUAGCUAGUAGGUGGGGUAAAGGCUCACCUGGGCGACGAUCUCUAGCUGGUCUGAGAGGAUGAACAGCCACACUGGGACUGAGACACGGCCCAGACUCCUACGGUAGGCAGCAUUGGGGAAUAUUGCACAAUGGGCGCAAGCCUGAUGCAGCCAUGCCGCGUGUAGGAAGAAGGCCUUCGGGUUUUAAAGUACUUUCAGCGGGGAGGCGUUACCCGCAGAAGAAGCACCGGCUAACUCCGUGCCAGCAGCCGCGGUAAUUC